GACGAACGCUGGCGGCGUGCUUAACACAUGCAAGUCGAACGGUAAGGCCCUUCGGGGUACACGAGUGGCGAACGGGUGAGUAACACGUGGGUGAUCUGCCCUGCACUUCGGGAUAAGCCUGGGAAAUUGGGUCUAAUACCGGAUGGGACCUCUGCCUGCAUGGGUGGGGGUGGAAAGCUUUUGCGGUGUGGGAUGGGCCCGCGGCCGAUCAGCUUGUUGGUGGGGUGAUGGCCUACCAAGGCGACGACGGGUAGCGGGCCUGGGGGGGUGACCGGCCACACUGGGACUGAGAUACGGCCCAGGCUCCUACGGGAGGCAGCAGUGGGGAAUAUUGCACAAUGGGCGCAAGCCUGAUGCAGCGACGCCGCGUGAGGGAUGACGGCCUUCGGGUUGUAAACCUCUUUCAGCACCGACGAAGCGCAAGUGACGGUAGGUGCAGAAGAAGGACCGGCCAACUACGUGCCAGCAGCCGCCGUAA
rnacentral:rRNA from 1 species